rnacentral:rRNA from 1 species
UGGGGAAUAUUGCGCAAUGGGCGAAAGCCUGACGCAGCGACGCCGCGUGAGGGAAGAAGGCCCUAUGGGUCGUAAACCUCUUUUGUCAGGGAACAAAAGCGAGUAUGUAUACUAGUCUGAGUGUACCUGAAGAAAAAGCAUCGGCUAACUCCGUGCCAGCAGCCGCGGUAAUACGGAGGAUGCGAGCGUUAUCCGGAUUUAUUGGGUUUAAAGGGUGCGUAGGCGGCGAUGCAAGUCAGCGGUAAAAGCCCGGGGCUCAACCCCGGCGAGCCGUUGAAACUGCAGUGCUAGAGAAGGCGAGAGGUACGCGGAAUGCGCAGUGUAGCGGUGAAAUGCUUAGAUAUUGCGCAGAACUCCGAUUGCGAAGGCAGCGUACUGGCGCCUGACUGACGCUGAGGCACGAAAGCGUGGGGGAUCGAACAGGAUUAGAUACC